CGAAAGCCAGUGAAAAGCUAUCGGAGAUCAUCGUGUCGAAACAAAUGCAGAAAGAUGUUCCCAAACUGUCUCCCCUGCAUCAGACUUCAGAGGUCGAAGCUUUCCACAGCACCAUAAACCACUUUGCACCCAAGAUGGUUUCCUUUUCCUAUCAUGGAAUGUACUGUAGGUUGAUGAUUGCUGCCCUUCAUUUUAAUGAAAAUUCUUCAAGACCCAGUGCCACAUCCAAAGAGGGUGACUAGCAAUACAAGAUUUUAUUUCCAAAGUUCAAGCAUGGGGACUACAGUGUGCGAAAGAAGAGUGUUGUUCCAACAUAUGGAUAUACAUCAACCCUUAUGCAGGAGACGCUAUCUGCCGUAAAAGGAGUAUGUGAUGAUCCUGUUCCAUGUUUGCCAGCUGUACAGCCACCUCCAUUGUGUAGAGGGUUCAUCCACCCUGAAAAGAAGAUGCCAUACUUCACUUCCAGUCAAGAUUUGCAGGCAUAGAGACAACAGUGUAGGAAAUGUUGUGACUGUAUAUAAGUUUGAUUCACCAUCAUAUACAUGUAUAUUUGAUGUGUAAACUCAACUACUGUUCUUAGUCAUUUUGUAUAUAUUGUUCACACCCCCCCCCCCCCAGUUUUGCAUAAACAAUAUUCUGAAAAUUCCUAGCCACUUUAGAAAAAUAUGAUAAUGUAGAUGGAAACUAGCACAGGCGCAGCCAGAGGUGGCAGUUAUUUGGGAUAUAAAUGCGUUUUGAUUUACCCUCCUUUGAUUCAUGUUAUGUCUCUUAAGGCUCGGUAAAACAUUACAAUACAUUCAGAUUUUAGCCGUCGAAUUGAAUCUUCAGUUGCGGGAGGCGAUUAAUAUAUCCUCCAGCGCUAUAAACGAUAACAAAAGCAAGCAUUGAACUGGAAAUUAAAGUAAAAUCUGUUUUUUGAAGAUGUUAAAAUUCUUAUUCCUAUACUAUAAAACCAAUAACGUUUGUGGGAUUACAUUUCGUUAAAUAUUGAUUUUUUUUUCAGGAUCAAGAAGAUAACGUUUUGUGAAUUUUCUUGUUUGAUAAUUUUUUAAGCAUUUAAUGGUCUAUAACAUCCAAAUUAAGCAUUCAUAUUGAUGUUAAUUUGUAUGAAAUAUUUGCGUUUCGUUGCUUUAAUGUAAUUAUAUACGUUCAUAGGGAUUUGAGCAAUAGAUGGAACAGCCAUAUCUGUAGGUGAUUUAAAUUGAAAGUCGGAGAUUUUCGAUGCAAACAUAGGGGAAAUAUACAUUGAAUGUAAACAUAAAUGAAUAUUGGUAAAAUUUGAGAAAGGGGAGUAUCCACAAAAGUUCACUAAAA